AUGGCGGUCAUGGCGCCCCGAACCCUCCUCCUGCUACUCUCGGGUGCCCCGGCCCUGACCCAGACCUGGGCGGGCUCCCACUCCAUGAGGUAUUUCAGCACCUCCGUGUCCCGGCCGGGCCGCGGGGAGCCCCGGUACCUCGAAGUCGGCUACGUGGACGACACGCAGUUCGUGCGGUUCGACAGCGACGCCGCGAGCCCGAGGAUGGAGCUGCGGGCGUCGUGGGUGCAGCAGGAGGGGCCAGAGUAUUGGGACCGGAACACACGGAGAGCCAAGGCCAACGCACAGACUGACCGAGUGGACCUAGGGACCCUGCGCGGCUACUACAACCAGAGCGAGGCCGGUGAGUGACCCCGGCCCGGAGCGCAGGUCACGACUCCUCCCCAUUCCCCACGGACGGGCCGGGUCGCCCACAGUCUCUGCGUCCGAGAUCCACCCCGAAGCCGCGGGACCCCGAGACCCUUGACCCGGGAGAGGCCCAGGCGCCUUUACCCAGUUUCAUUUUCAGUUUAGACCAAAAAUUCCCGCGGGUUGGUCGGGGCGGGGCGGGGCGGGGCUCGGGGGAAGGGGCUGACCGCGGGGGCGGGGCCAGGUUCUCACACCAUCCAGAGGAUGUAUGGCUGCGAAGUGGGGUCCCACGGGCGCUUCCUCCGCGGGUACCGGCAGGACGCCUACGACGGCAAGGAUUACAUCGCCCUAAACGAGGACCUGCGCUCUUGGACCGCGGCGGACAUUGCAGCUCAGAUCAUCAAGCGCAAGUGGGAGGCGGCCGGUGUGGGGGAGCAGGAGAGAGCCUACCUGGAGGGCACGUGCGUGGAGUGGCUCCGCAGACACCUGAAGAACGGGAAGGAGACGCUGCAGCGCACGGACCCCCCCAAGACACAUAUGACCCACCACCCCAUCUCUGACCAUGAGGCCACCCUGAGGUGCUGGGCCCUGGGCUUCUACCCUGCGGAGAUCACACUGACCUGGCAGCGGGAUGGGGAGGACCAGACCCAGGACACGGAGCUCGUGGAGACCAGGCCUGCAGGGGAUGGAACCUUCCAGAAGUGGGUGGCUGUGGUGGUGCCUUCUGGAAAGGAGCAGAGAUACACCUGCCAUGUGCAGCAUGAGGGUCUGCCUGAGCCCCUCACCCUGAGAUGGGAGCCGUCUUCCCAGCCCACCAUCCCCAUCGUGGUCAUCAUUGCUGGCCUGGUUCUCCUUGGAGCUGUGAUCACUGGAGCUGUGGUCGCUGCUGUGAUGUGGAGGAGGAAGAGCUCAGGUGGGGAAGGGGUGAAGGAUAGAAAAGGAGGGAGAUACUCUCAGGCUGCAAGCAGUGACAGUGCCCAGGGCUCUGAUGUGUCUCUCACAGCUUGUAAAG
rnacentral:sRNA from 1 species